UGUGGUAGCUCAGUAGUAGAGCACUUGCCUAGCAUGUGUGAGGCACUGGGUUCAAUUCUCAGUACCACAU
rnacentral:tRNA from 1 species